rnacentral:rRNA from 1 species
AUUGAACGCUGGCGGCAUGCCUUACACAUGCAAGUCGAACGGUAACAGGUCUUCGGAUGCUGACGAGUGGCGAACGGGUGAGUAAUACAUCGGAACGUGCCCGAUCGUGGGGGAUAACGAAGCGAAAGCUUUGCUAAUACCGCAUAAGAUCUAUGGAUGGAAGCAGGGGACCGCAAGGCCUUGCGCGAACGGAGCGGCCGAUGGCAGAUUAGGUAGUUGGUGGGAUAAAAGCUUACCAAGCCGACGAUCUGUAGCUGGUCUGAGAGGACGACCAGCCACACUGGGACUGAGACACGGCCCAGACUCCUACGGGAGGCAGCAGUGGGGAAUUUUGGACAAUGGGCGAAAGCCUGAUCCAGCCAUGCCGCGUGCAGGAUGAAGGCCUUCGGGUUGUAAACUGCUUUUGUACGGAACGAAAACUUAAGCUCUAACAUAGCUUAAGGUUGACGGUACCUUGAUAAGAAGCACCGGCUAACUACGUGCCAGCCGCCGCGGUAA